CCUACGGGGGGCUGCAGUGAGGAAUAUUGGUCAAUGGGCGCGAGCCUGAACCAGCCAAGUAGCGUGAAGGAUGACGGCCCUACGGGUUGUAAACUUCUUUUAUAAAGGAAUAAAGGGAGGCACGUGUGCCUUUUUGUAUGUACUUGAUGAAUAAGGAUCGGCUAACUCCGUGCCAGCAGCCGCGGUAAUACGGAGGAUCCGAGCGUUAUCCGGAUUUAUUGGGUUUAAAGGGAGCGUAGAUGGGUUGUUAAGUCAGUUGUGAAAGUUUGCGGCUCAAACGUAUAAUUGCGAUGGAUCUGGUCAGUCUUGGGUAUAGUUGAGGUAGGCGGAAUUCGGGGGGUAGCGGGAAAAUGAUUAGAAAUAACGAAGAACUCGGUUUGCGAGGGAAGAUUACUAAGCUGCAACUGACCUUGUUGCUCGAAAGUGUGGGUAUCAAACAGGAUUAGAUACCCGUGUAGU
rnacentral:rRNA from 1 species